rnacentral:rRNA from 1 species
UAUGUGAUCGUCUCUCGCAUAUCAAUAAGCGGAGGAAAAGUAAAUGCUGUAUACCUACGCUUAGGAUGUUGAAGAUGUAGCACAUCAUACACGCAUGACACACUGCAUAUCAAUAAGCGGAGGAAAAGAAACUAACAAGGAUUCCCUUAGUAACGGCGAGUGAAGCGGGAAGAGCUCAAAUUUGAAAUCUUCAAGGUUUUACCUUGACGAAUUGUAGUUUAAAGAAGUGUUUUCUGUUGAAGUUUUGGUAAAAGUUCUUUGGAAUAGGACAUCAUAGAGGGUGAGAAUCCCGUAUUUGACCAUUAUUUUCAGCUGUGUGAUACACUUUCAAAGAGUCGGAUUGUUUGGGAAUGCAGUCCAAAAUGGGUGGUAAAUUUCAUCUAAAGCUAAAUAUUGGCGAGAGACCGAUAGCGAACAAGUACCGUGAGGGAAAGAUGAAAAGAACUUUGAAAAGAGAGUUAAACAGUACGUGAAAUUGUCAAAAGGGAAGCGUUUGACACCAGUGUUGUUUUCCUCGAAAAUCAAUUAAAAAGAGUUAGAUUUUGUUGUGUAUUGACCUUAACAGCUUGCAUUUCAAUUUUCUUGCUUUUUUUAAUGCACUUUUCGUUUAACAAGUCAACAUCAGUUUCUUUUGUUGUAAAAAGGUCAUUGGAAGGUGGCUUUCUUUUCGGAGAAAGUGUUUAUAGCCUUUGACUCCUGCAAUCGGAGAGACUGAGGUCUGCAGCGUAGAUCCUUCGGGGUUAGAUACAUUUGUGCUAAGUUAUAGCUUUUUAUAGACAACUUGUUGACUAUGAUUAGUCUUGUAGCUUACUCGCUUAUGCUAUUUUACCUACGCUUAGGAUGUUGAAGAUGUAGCACAUCAU